GUUUGACGUUUCAGUACAAACUUUAAUAUUUUAGAAUGUUCAUUAAAAAUAAACAUAAAAAUAAAUGAGGAAAUAGUGCUAAGGUCAAUGGAAAGGUUUCCGAAAAUGCACAAUGUUACAGCAAAAUGGGCAAGCGCUAUUCAAAUCGUUCCGCUUCAGGUAUCUUCGAAAUGCCGUGCUCACGCCGACUGCUUCACUGUCAGGUGACGUCCAUAAUAAACUCGGAGGCAAAAAAUUACACCAAUAUUUAAACCCAAGUACACGCUUAGUGAAGUACAAUAGCUAAAGUCAGCUAAACUAAAUAUAGUAAAUAAAACUAAGUAUAGUACGUAAA